GGGUUGUGUAGCUGAGUCGUAAAAGAGGAGGUUCGAUUGACCGCUACUGAAAAUCGUAUAUGCCAAUGCAGGGCUCAAAAUGACUAGGGCGAUUUGAUCCCUCCUAAUUAUUAUUAAAUAAUUUGGGAUGUUCGAGUCCGUUGUAAAUCAUUACAUGAUCGGGAGCGUAAGACACCAUAGAAUAUUAUUAGUAGGUUUGAGUCCCCC
rnacentral:lncRNA from 1 species